ACACUGGCGGCGUGCUUACCAUGCAAGUCGAACGAAGUUAUGUUUAACUGAGAAGGAAGGUUUACCUAAACCUUUGGAAGAUAUAACUGAGUGGCGGACCGGGUGAGUCCCUCUGAGGGGGACCUGCCUUUUACAGGGGGAUAACACUUACAAAUAGGUGCUAAUACCGCAUAAGCUUACCAAGCCGCAUGGCUUAGUGAGAAAAGGAGCAAUCCGGUAAAAGAUGGACCCGCGUCUGAUUACCCAGUUGGCAGGGAAACGGCCUACCACAGCGACGAUCACCACCCGGCCUGAGAGGGUGAACGGCCACAUUGGGACUGAGACACGGCCCAAACUCCUACGGGGAGGCAGGAGUGGGGAAUAUUGCACAAUGGGGGAAACCCUGAUGCAGCGACCCCGCGUGAGUGAAGAAGUAUUUCGGUAUGUAAAGCUCUAUCAGCAGGAAAGAAGAAAGACGGUACCUGACUAAGAAGCCCCGGCUAACUACUUGCCACCAGCCGCGGUAAUACGUAGGGGGCAAGCGUUAUCCGGAUUUACUGGGUGUAAAGGGAGCGUAGACGGUUAUGUAAGUCAGAAGUGAGAGCCCGGGGCUCAACCCCGUGAUUGCUUUAGAAACUGUGUAACUGGAGUGCAGGAGAGGUAAGAGGAAUUCCUAGUGUAGCGGUGAAAUGCGUAGAUAUUAGGAGGAACACCAGCGGCGAAGGCGUCUUACUGGACUGAAACUGACGUUGAGGCUCGAAAGCGUGGGGAGCAAACAGGAUUAGAUACCCUGGUAGUCCACGCUGUAAACGAUGAUUACUAGGUGUCUGGGAUGAAUACAUCCAAGGUGCCGCAGCCAACGCAAUAAGUAAUCCACCUGGGGAGUACGUUCGCAAGAAUGAAACUCAAAGGAAUUGACGGGGACCCGCACAAGCGGUGGAGCAUGUGGUUUAAUUCGAAGCAACGCGAAAAACCUUACCUGGUCUUGACAUCUGGCUGAAGUACCCGUAAUGGGGUGCGCCCUUCGGGGCAGCCAAGACAGGUGGUGCAUGGUUGUCGUCAGCUCGUGUCGUGAGAUGUUGGGUUAAGUCCCGCAACGAGCGCAACCCUUAUCUUUAGUAGCCAGCAUUACGGAUGGGAACUCUAGAGAGACUGCCGGGGAUAACCCGGAGGAAGGUGGGGAUGACGUCAAAUCAUCAUGCCCCUUAUGAUCAGGGCUACACACGUGCUACAAUGGAUUAGAACAAAGGGAAGCGAAGUAGUGAUAUGGAGCGAAUCCCAAAAAAGAGUCCACAGUUCGGAUUGUAGUCUGCAACUCGACUACAUGAAGCUGGAAUCGCUAGUAAUCGCGGAUCAGAAUGCCGCGGUGAAUACGUUCCCGGGUCUUGUACACACCGCCCGUCACACCAUGGGAGUCGGAAAUGCCCGAAGCCGGUGACCUAACCGAGAGGGAGGAGCCGUCGAAGGCAGGUCCGAUAA
rnacentral:rRNA from 1 species